UUCCCCUCAGGGUUGCACCUGGAGAGUUUCCAGUACUCUACCCAUUUCGACUACGGGAGGGAGAGUCAAGCAGAGGCAUACCCAUUCCAUUCCUAGCUUGGCCAGUGGCUAGUGAGUGGAAAGCAAUCUGCUACAAGU